CCCUUAGAUGUUCUGGGCCGCACGCGCGCUACACUGAAGGGAUCAGCGUGUUUUCCCUUUCCGAGAGGAACGGGUAACCCGCUGAACCCCCUUCGUGGUAGGGAUCGGAGCUUGCAAUUGUUCUCCGUGAACCAGGAAUUCCCAGUAAGCGCAAGUCAUAAGCUUGCGUUGAUUACGUCCCUGCCCUUUGUACACACCGCCCGUCACUACUACCGAUUGAACGUUUUAGUGAGGUAUUUGGACUGGGCCUUGGGAGGUUUCGGCCUCCCUUGUUGCUCGGAAAGACUCCCAAACUUGAGCGUUUAGAGGAAGUAAAAGUCGUAACA
rnacentral:rRNA from 1 species